CGACCGGCGCACGGGUGAGUAACGCGUAUGCAACCUACCUAUCAGGAGGGAAUAACCCGGCGAAAGUCGGACUAAUACCGCAUAAAACAGGGGUUCCACAUGGAAAUAUUUGUUAAAGAAUUAUCGCUGAUAGAUGGGCAUGCGUUCCAUUAGAUAGUUGGUGAGGUAACGGCUCACCAAGUCCACGAUGGAUAGGGGUUCUGAGAGGAAGGUCCCCCACACUGGUACUGAGACACGGACCAGACUCCUACGGAAGGCAGCAG
rnacentral:rRNA from 1 species